CUAAGGCUCCAGAGGAAGCCACGGCUAACUCUGUGCCAGCAGCCGCGGUAAUACAGAGGCGGCAAGCGUUGUUCGGAAUUAUUGGGCGUAAAGAGCACGUAGGCGGCCCUGAAAGUCAGUUGUGAAAGCCUUCCGCUUAACGGAAGAACGGCUUCUGGUACUGCAGGGCUAGAGUACGGAAGGGGAGAGUGGAACUUCUGGUGGAGCGGUGAAAUGCGUAGAUAUCAGAAGGAACGCCGGCGGCGAAAGCGACUCUCUGGUCCGAAACUGACGCUGAGUGUGCGAAAGCUAGGGGAGCAAACGGGAUUAGAUACCCCGGUAGUCCUAGCCGUAAA
rnacentral:rRNA from 1 species